GCAAAUGAACGAGAGAUAGAACUCGAAGAAUGGGUUCUUUGAGAGACAAGAUAGUAAUCAACAAAUAUAUAACAACCUAGUUCCUAUACCACAAGCUCCAAGGUAGUCGAGAAGAAUUUAUAAAUUGUCUCAGUUGAAUGGUUUGAACUUUAUGACUAUGUCAUAGAGUUACACCUCUUAAUUCGAAAGAAAUAAGAAUGAAAAUCCUAUGACUACAUUGAGUGUAUAUGUGACAUAUACUCAAGGAAAUGGUAAAAGUACCAUUUGACUCGAAUAAUGAAACCUUCAUAGCUAAUUGGUAGCUUAAGGUGACUACAAUCAAAGAGAUUGGUUG
rnacentral:lncRNA from 1 species